rnacentral:rRNA from 1 species
AACGAACGCUGGCGGCAUGCCUAACACAUGCAAGUCGAACGAGACCUUCGGGUCUAGUGGCGCACGGGUGCGUAACGCGUGGGAACCUGCCCUUAGGUUCGGAAUAACUCCCCGAAAGGGGUGCUAAUACCGGAUAAUGUCUUCGGACCAAAGAUUUAUCGCCUUUGGAUGGGCCCGCGUUGGAUUAGCUAGUUGGUAGGGUAAAAGCCUACCAAGGCGACGAUCCAUAGCUGGUCUGAGAGGAUGAUCAGCCACACUGGGACUGAGACACGGCCCAGACUCCUACGGGAGGCAGCAGUGGGGAAUAUUGGACAAUGGGCGAAAGCCUGAUCCAGCAAUGCCGCGGGAGUGAUGAAGGCCUUAGGGUUGUAAAGCUCUUUUACCCAGGAUGAUAAUGACAGUACCGGGAGAAUAAGCUCCGGCUAACUCCGU